UCGGGGCGCUGCAGUGGGAAUUUAGCCAUUGAAAUGUUAAAUGCGUGUGCGUCAAUUAUAGAAUAUUGACGUACUAAACUAAUAAUAAAACUCUCAAAAUAACUCUCACAUAUAAAACUUUACGACUCAACACACCUCUUACACAUCCUCACUCUACUACACUAUACCUCACCACAUCACACUACACUUCCUCACACAUCCCACUCACACCACUCACACCUUGCUUCACUACUUCAUCUCACUCUUCACUCUCACAUACACACCUUGGUGUGGAGGCCUCACACCUAUUUAUAGGUCUCCAACCUAUCUACAUAAGCACUCUAGAAUAUUCUAGAGUAUUUGCUUCGAGAACUCACUAAAGUACUCUAUUAAUAAGUAGAGAGUACUAUAUUCCUAGAGUUUUCUAGAGUGCUUCAUUAGCUAGUAGAGAUUUGGAAAGGAAUAAAGCAUUCUGGAAUGUUCUAUUAAAG
rnacentral:lncRNA from 1 species